GGGCCCGCACAAGCGGUGGAGCAUGUGGUUUAAUUCGAUGCAACGCGAAAAACCUUACCUACUCUUGACAUCCUUGGAAUACCUUAGUAAUAAGGUAGUGCCUUCGGGAACCAAGUGACAGGUGCUGCAUGGCUGUCGUCAGCUCGUGUCGUGAGAUGUUGGGUUAAGUCCCGUAACGAGCGAAACCCCUGUUCUCUGUUGCCAGCACGUAAUGGUGGGGACUCUGAGAAGACUGCCGGUGUUAAAUCGGAGGAAGGUGGGGACGAUGUCAAGUCAUCAUGGCCCUUACGAGUAGGGCUACACACGUGCUACAAUGGGCAGUACAAAGGGUUGCUAAGCCGCGAGGCCAAG
rnacentral:rRNA from 1 species